UGUUCAUCUUCCCCAUCCGUUGACAAAAUCCGUUCUCCUCCCCAGGCUCUAUUCGUCUUCCUUCGCCGCCGCAAAAAUCCGUAUUCCUCCCCACGAAUGUGCCGCCGCGAGUUUAAUUGUAAUCAAAAUCCAAGCAUUGAAGGACUAGAAACUGCUCAAUGGAGCACAUAUGUCGCCGCAAUUGCAUCGACCUUAAAAAGGGCCCCCGCUGCCAUCGGCAUCCACACCAACCACGCCAGGGUGCUCGCGCUGCCACAACGCCAAGCAGCCUAAACGCUCGUCCAACUACUGCUGGAAUAUGGCUCGACGAUGUACAGCGCCACCCAAUUCAAUUGGAUUCAGUCACCUACUACCUCAGGCUCUCCCAAUUCUUCGGAUUUCUUGGAUUCUUAGACUGCUCGCGGAUAUUACUUUGGGUUUAUUGAGUACUCACUCUCUACACAGUACAUAGCGGCUUCUUCCAUUGGUAAGCUUUACGCAUAUUCUAAUCUCCUUCCCCUUUUCUGUUCAAGUAAGCGCACCUAAUCAGUAAGCUUUGUAUGAUGUCAAGUGGAUUGCAGGGACCAGUAAAUACAAAUAGCUAGUAGUAUUUCUGUAGUCAUAUAGAGUUUAUCCAACGAAUGAUUUAUUCGGGGAUAUUUCUGCACUAUUGGUACAUAGAAUUAAACACGGAAUACUUUGUGCCUUUAUAUUGUGUAAUAAUAGCAAAUUAGCAAUGGUCCGAAUUGAGGUGUAGAUGGAACAAUUUACAAAUGAAAAUAACCUAUUAAAUUUUAAUUUAAUUUGGCUGACCAUAUGCACCUUCAAUUUUAGAGAUUAAAGAUAACAUCGGUAUUAUCGAUUUUCAUGUACAAGCAGAAUCAUCCGAAAGUUUAGUAUAACAUAAACAUGAACACACAAGCAGUACUGCCAAUUUGUUGAACCACAUGCAGGGCACCAUCAACCACGCAUGGAUCAACUAAGGACUGCACUCGCUUCUACCCAAAUUACUGAUAUUCCUACUUAUGUAAACAACUCAAGAUGAUCCAAUGAGUGUGUCCAUGAAAAUAUACUGUGCAUGAAAUCUUCACAACCUACAAGAAGAACCCAGUAUUACUUUCAUUGAUAAUAGCCCAUACCCGCACUAAUCAGCUUCGGUUGUAACUGAGAAACAUCUCAUACGCAGAAAACUUUGUUGAAUUACUUAUGUCAUCGCCUGUGUCUACAUGUACCUGCAACCUGCAUGGAUAUUAUUAUUAAUAAACCCAGUUUCAAGUUUUUUUUUGCACCAUUAUCAUGUUUGCUCAAAAUCUUGAAGCUGCUCAACUAUUUUUCUUAUUCUUCUCAUUAUUGUCCUAAGAAAAUCCGUGAACCCAUGUAGGCAUGCAGCAUGUUAAUGCCUUCAUUAACUGCUACUAUUUGUGACAUUCUACAAAACAACAACGUUACUACUGUACCUUUAUCAGUUUCUAAACAUUCAUUACCCAAUUAAUUAUUAUUAUUAGAACUAUUUUUAUGUUUAAACAUUCUUCAAAACUGAAAAACACCUAUAACACCAUCCCAAGCACCGUAUUACCUACAAAUUCAUCAUUUUCAUCUGCAUAGAGUUUUGUCUAUAGGUCAUACAUGGUGAAUUUGCAAGAAGGCAGCAGGUAUGGCCACUUUAUCAAGUUUUAUUGGUUCUUCCAGCGUUGCAUACUUACCUUAUUUAAAACAAAAAAACAUUUUCUGCAGGAUUCAAGAUGAUGCAAAAAAAAAAAAAAAGAUCCACCCCCUCUUUUCUUCACUCAUCCAGAGGAACUCACACAAGGUAUAUGGAAGCUAUUGCAGACUUGAAGAAUAUUGCAAAACCACUGGCGUGUACUAUUACUUUCAAAGGCACCACAAAGCUUCCUGAGGAGCACCCUUUCAAGGCUGCCAAAUACAUCGUCCAGUACACGAAGAAAGGAAGCCCCCAUGUACAAGUUGUCAUCAACGAAGAAGGCACCCACCCAAACAACUUGAAAUAAAUAGUACCAUGUUAUUUGUAUUGAGUAAGAAAUUAUAAUGAUCAAAUUCUCCAAUAGAAUAAAUAAUAAUUUUUUUCUU